UGUUGUGCACUUCACGUUACAGGUUUAUUUCAUUUUAGUUUGUUCUAUUGGCUUUAAUGUGUAAGAUUCUACAUCUUUUGCCUAAAUCAAAUGGCACUAUAUAUAUUCUUAGCAGGCAGUCGUCUCAGUCAUCAGCUAGCCUGUCUGUUGUGGCUGUAUUUGAAUUGCUUACAGAGGUUUAAGUAGUUAAUAGCGGAGUGCUCCAGACUAGGUCACUUAGGGUGUGAGAAUCUAAACAUUUUUCAAGCGUUAACGGAAUAAAUAUCGAACCCCUCUACUUUGAAUGUGAUUUGACACAGCUGUCCCUUGGCUCUUUCUGUUAAUCCACACAAGCCUUUGAGGAAGUGGUUUGUCAUCAAACACAGUUCCUGUCAGCUAUGGGGAGAACAUAAUAAUUAGUCUCUAAAAAAAAAACGUCAAAGAACCAUGCCAGUAUUUGACGCAGUUCAGCAAGCUGGACGGUGGCCCCACCCUUUGGCCCGACACACAGAGUGGAGAGACAUGGUGUGGAUGAGCUUCUUGUUUCAUUGGUGCCCUGUAAGCUUUUUGAAUAGGGAUUACAAAUACCUCCACAUGUUACCUUGGGGCCUCACCAUGACCCUUGUAAAAAAUAAAAAAAUAUAUAUUAAAAAACCCCAAGGUAGGUCAACUCAACGUUCCAUCUCCACUACCAGAGUUCAAGACAUGGGAGCCGAACAUUCAAACGUGAAUCCGCCCCCACCCCCAGUUACUGGAUAGGUUACCCUGGGUUUUCAAACGUCAAUAAAGCUGAAUCCGCCCCCACCCCCAGUUACUGGAUAGGUUACCCUGGGUUUUCAAACGUCAAUAAAGCUGAAUCCGCCCCCACCCCCAGUUACUGGAUAGGUUACCCUGGGUUUUCAAACGUCAAUAAAGCUGAAUCCGCCCCCACCCCCAGUUACUGGAUAGGUUACCCUGGGUUUUCAAACGUCAAUAAAGCUGAAUCCGCCCCCACCCCCAGUUACUGGAUAGGUUACCCUGGGUUUUCAAACGUCAAUAAAGCUGAAUCCGCCCCCACCCCCAGUUACUGGAUAGGUUACCCUGGGUUUUCAAACGUCAAUAAAGCUGAAUCCGCCCCCACCCCCAGUUACUGGAUAGGUUACCCUGGGUUUUCAAACGUCUCCCACCGGGUUUGUGGUGAGGACACUACCAGAUGUGUGAGACCAGUUGGAGGUCACCGUUGUUCCCCUGUGACCUCUACUUCCUGACCCUAGAAGGUGAACCCCUGAUGCGAAGCACACUGACCAUGUUGUUGAGGUUUUCUGCUUUCCAUUUUAAAAGUCAAAAUAUGCGAGAGCUUGCUUCGUAAUGAGAGCUGCGGUCGGCCAACAAGGGAAUUCCAGGACAGGUCUCCCUUUACUGUGACACGUUUAUAUUGAAAGUGGAGGGUAUGUUGUCAGACAAUGCAGUAGACGGAUUGGAUAGUGUUGAAAUUACAUGCAUCUGGGCGUUGAAAAAGUUCCCAUCUAUGAAACAAGUAAACUAAUUUAACCACCACUCCCAAAAAGAAUGUUAUUUUCCACUACUGUAACAGUGGAAGAAAGUGCCUUUCUCUACAGACAUGGGACCAAGCUGUGGGGAACCAGUAUUUGUUUUAAUGUGCAAAUCCAGUCAUUAAUACCACAUGCAUUUGGCUCAAGUGAUUCAUUUUAAUAUGGUGUUUUGUCAAGUAAGCUUAGGGCUAUUUCAACUGGAAAGAAGUCCUCUAGUCCUCUAACAGAACAUACUGAUAUGGAUGCAAUGCAUUUCAAAGAAUAGAAGAAGGCCAUAAAUGUGAACAGAGCUGGAUACUCCAUGCUGUAGAUAAUUUGAAUUAUUAUCCAAACGUCGAUUUAACACUUUGACUGGCCUGUAUCAGCUGUUUAAGGUUGACAAUUUAGGCUACUUGCUGGCACCCUGGUCAACCCCUAAGGAGGUAUUUGAUCUCGCUCUCUCUCGCUCUCUCUCGCUCUCGCUGUCUCUCUCGUGCUCUUUCCUUCCCUCACCUAGAUUUGACAGGGGGAGUCAUGUGUUUGUGUAGAGUUAGCAGGACCUGUCAGCUGAAGUGCUCACCGUCUUAAUUUGCAACUUUACAGUGUAUUCAGAAAGUAUUCAGACCCCUGGACUUUUUCCACAUGCUAUGUUACAGCCUUAUUUUAAAAUUGAUGAGGAUGUUUAAGAAAUAAAUGAAAAAAUGUAAUCAAUCAACAGACAAUACCCCAUAAUGACAAAGCAAAAACAGGUUUUGGGGUAUUACUUUAUUUUUGGUGCAAAUGUAUAAAAAAUAAAAAAGUCACAGGACCAGAUUGAUGUUGAAGCCUGUUGGUUAGUUGUCUUGAUCUGGGUCCAUGCGACUCUUUCCAUUUGUUUUAAAGAAUUUUUCCAGUGGAAAAGUGAUUUGUGAUCUCAAGACAAAAAGGAAAUCCAAGGGGAAGGUUGACUGUCACAGUUGUGAGUUCGGAAACAGGUGCCUCUUCUAAGAAGCCGGACUGAUUUCCUUAGCGCUACUUCAAAGUGCACACGACCCCCAACCAGCUCACGGUUAAGACUGUAAAGAUAUUUCAGUUCAAUCACUUCUACAAAUCAAAGCUUAUUGAUCACGUGCACAGGAUACAACGUUUGAAAACAGUACGGUGAAAUACUUACUUGCAAGCUCUCCUCGAUGCAGUAAUACUAAGUCAGAAAAUAAAAUGCACAAAGAGUAUGCAUAAGAAUAAAAUAAAUACAAUAUGUACUUUUAUUUCUUGUGUUUAUUUAUUUGACGACUUAGUAUUGCUGCAUUGUUGAGGAGAGCUUGCAAGUAAGCAUUUCACUGUACUGUUUACACCUUUUUACUACUGAUUCCAUGGUGCCUCUGCAAAUGACUAGUGAGAUUCUGGGAGAAGAAAGUAAAAACAUGGAGAACACUGAUGCUUACCAGACUGCAAAUACACCUCCUAAACUGGUUUAAACCACAGGCAAAUACACCUCCUAAACUGGUUUAAACCACAGGCAAAUACACCUCCUAAACUGGUUUAAACCACAGGCAAAUACACCUCCUAAACUGGUUUAAACCACAGGCAAAUACACCUCCUAAACUGGUUUAAACCACAGGCAAAUACACCUCCUAAACUGGUUUAAACCACAGGCAAAUACACCUCCUAAAUAGCCCGAUAUCUAUCAGUGUUUUUAAAAUAGCAAUAGAUCCUCUAUCCCAAUAUAUUUCGUAACCUUUUCCACCUCGUGGUAAUGCUACACGGGCGCACAGAGUCUAGUUUCGAUGACUUAACACAGUAAACGGCAGCUGAUGAAUGUGUUGCCAGCCUCUCCUAUGUAACGAAGGUCAAAGCAACAUUGUUCAACAGCAAUGGUGUUUGUUUUGCAAUGGAAAAUUAAAACGACUUAUAGGUCCAAGUACCCAUAAAACUUCAAUUAAUAGCCCGGGUGUUUAUUUGCUUCAAUCAAUGAACAGAAAUCAAAAUUUAUAAAAAUAAAAAAAAUAGACAAGUAAAAAAUAAAAGUAACAAGUAAUUAAAGAGCAGCAGUAAAAUAACAGUAGCGAGGCUAUAUACAGAUGGUACUGGUACAGAGUCAAUGUGGAGGCUAUAUACAGAUGGUACUGGUACAGAGUCAAUGUGGAGGCUAUUUACAGAUGGUACUAGUACAGAGUCAAUGUGGAGGCUAUAUACAGAUGGUACUGGUACAGAGUCAAUGUGGAGGCUAUUUACAGAUGGUACUGGUACAGAGUCAAUGUGGAGGCUAUAUACAGAUGGUACUGGUACAGAGUCAAUGUGGAGGCUAUAUACAGAUGGUACUGGUACAGAGUCAAUGUGGAGGCUAUAUACAGAUGGUACUGGUACAGAGUCAAUGUGGAGGCUAUAUACAGAUGGUACUGGUACAGAGUCAAUGUGGAGGCUAUAUACAGAUGGUACUGGUACAGAGUCAAUGUGGAGGCUAUAUACAGAUGGUACUGGUACAGAGUCAAUGUGGAGGCUAUAUACAGAUGGUACUGGUACAGAGUCAAUGUGGAGGCUAUAUACAGAUGGUACUGGUACAGAGUCAAUGUGGAGGCUAUAUACAGAUGGUACUGGUACAGAGUCAAUGUGGAGGCUAUAUACAGAUGGUACUGGUACAGAGUCAAUGUGGAGGCUAUAUACAGAUGGUACUGGUACAGAGUCAAUGUGGAGGCUAUAUACAGAUGGUACUGGUACAGAGUCAAUGUGGAGGCUAUAUACAGAUGGUAUUGGUACAGAGUCAAUGUGGAGGCUAUAUACAGAUGGUACCGGUACAGAGUCAAUGUGGAGGCUA